GUUUAAAAUUUUAAAAAUAAUUCAUUGUAAAGUCUAGAUACUUAUACUUGAAAUUAUUGAUUCCUUAAUAAGAUUUAGUUUCAUUUAAUCGCAUAUAACAUAGAAGACCUAUUUUGACAACAAUUAAAAAGAAAUUGUCUUGCCUUGUAAAUAUUGUUAGGAAUAUUUUCCAAUGUUGAGUGUUGUUGAUAUCUUUCAACGAAUUGAAAAAAGUUACUGUUUUAAAUAUCGAAUUUUAAAUAAUAAAAUUAAACCGAAAAUUGUAGAAAGAAAACAUUUUUACUUCUGAGUGCAAAUAUUAGAAUUUAACUUAUUGCAAUACAACUUAUUUUGCGCUGUGCUUUGUAGACGAAUAACGCAAACAAACCAGUGAUGACAUAAUAUACAUACAUCCACCUAAUUGUUUGGGAAAUAAUACAUAGGUAUUGUAUGUUAAUAAAUUCAUAAAAAAUAAAUUGUGCUUUGUGAAAAAAUAAGUUUUUAUACUCGCCUACAAAAGUCAGCUAGGCUUCAACGUGAACUUUCGUGAACUUGAACAACAUUCCUUUUUAAUUAACACAUAUUUUCAGUUUUAUUGACUUUAUUAAAUGUUAUGUGGUUUUUAGAUAUUGUAUUAUUAGUUAUAGGAGUGAGACUUUGUAAUGACCGUUAACCGCUGCAACGGUUAAUCAUAAAACUUGAUAAACUAGUAAUAUACCAGCUUUCCACUAACACUUUAAUAUAUUUUUAUUAAGGAAAAUGUUUAUGUGGACAGUACAUACGAGCAAGGUUACGACGCGCCGGGAUUCUUAACAGAAAAGCAACACAGCGAUUGCGUUCAAUUCUUGAGCCAUCAUCAACAGUUGUUUAUGAAGUGUUCCCAGCAUUAAAU